GAUGAACGCUGGCGGCGUGCCUAAUACAUGCAAGUCGAGCGAACAGACGAGGAGCUUGCUCCUCUGAUGUUAGCGGCGGACGGGUGAGUAACACGUGGAUAACCUACCUAUAAGACUGGGAUAACUUCGGGAAACCGGAGCUAAUACCGGAUAACAUGUUGAACCGCAUGGUUCAACAGUGAAAGACGGUCUUGCUGUCACUUAUAGAUGGAUCCGCGCCGCAUUAGCUAGUUGGUAAGGUAACGGCUUACCAAGGCAACGAUGCGUAGCCGACCUGAGAGGGUGAUCGGCCACACUGGAACUGAGACACGGUCCAGACUCCUACGGGAGGCAUCAGUAGGGAAUCUUCCGCAAUGGGCGAAAGCCUGACGGAGCAACGCCGCGUGAGUGAAGAAGGUCUUCGGAUCGUAAAACUCUGUUAUUAGGGAAGAACAAAUGUGUAAGUAACUAUGCACGUCUUGACGGUACCUAAUCAGAAAGCCACGGCUAACUACGUG
rnacentral:rRNA from 1 species